rnacentral:rRNA from 1 species
AUUGAACGCUGGCGGCAGGCCUAACACAUGCAAGUCGAACGGUAACAGGAAGCAGCUUGCUGCUUUGCUGACGAGUGGCGGACGGGUGAGUAAUGUCUGGGAAACUGCCUGAUGGAGGGGGAUAACUACUGGAAACGGUAGCUAAUACCGCAUAACGUCGCAAGACCAAAGAGGGGGACCUUCGGGCCUCUUGCCAUCGGAUGUGCCCAGAUGGGAUUAGCUAGUAGGUGGGGUAACGGCUCACCUAGGCGACGAUCCCUAGCUGGUCUGAGAGGAUGACCAGCCACACUGGAACUGAGACACGAUCCAGACUCCUACGGGAGGCAGCAGUGGGGAAUAUUGCACAAUGGGUGCAAGCCUGAUGCAGCCAUGCCGCGUGUAUGAAGAAGGCCUUCGGGUUGUAAAGUACUUUCAGCGGGGAGGAAGGGAGUAAAGUUAAUACCUUUGCUCAUUGACGUUACCCGCAGAAGAAGCACCGGCUAACUCCGUG